rnacentral:rRNA from 1 species
UACGUAUGGGGCAAGCGUUAUCCGGAAUUAUUGGGCGUAAAGAGUGCGUAGGUGGUUUUUUAAGCGUGGGGUUUAAGGCUACGGCUUAACCGUAGUUCGCCCCAUGAACUGGGAGACUUGAGUGCAGGAGAGGAAAGCGGAAUUCCUAGUGUAGCGGUGAAAUGCGUAGAUAUUAGGAGGAACACCGGUGGCGAAGGCGGCUUUCUGGACUGUAACUGACACUGAGGCACGAAAGCGUGGGGAGCAAACAGGAUUAGAUACCCUGGUAGUCCCUGAGCGGGCUGG